rnacentral:lncRNA from 1 species
GAAGCCCACGGGCCCUUGGGGACGGACGGGCACUGUUCCCCAGAGCAGUGCAAUCAAUGCUGGGAAACUGAAGCUGCGAGUGUCCGAGGGACCCUGGGACGUCUCUGGGGUCUGCGUAGGUACCCAUGGAGGAGCAGAGAUGGCAGAUGAAGGAGGCCGUGGAGGAGAAAAGAACACAGGAAUUCACCAGAAAUUGGCAGGCUGUGGAAUUGACGGAGUCCUCUUACUGUCCAGGCCUAAGGGGUCCAAUAAUCCCAUCCUUUGCCGAACGCUUUACUGUGGGACUGGCAUCAUUUCAAGCAUUUAAUCCUCGUCCCAACUCUACGAGGAAGGGUCUCGCUUUGUCACCCAGGCUGGAGUGCAAUGGUGCAAUCACAGCAUACUGCAGCCUCAACCUCCCAGGCUCAAGCAAUCCUCCCACCUCAGCCUC